AGUGAACGCUGGCGGUAGGCCUAACACAUGCAAGUCGAACGGCAGCACAGUAAGAGCUUGCUCUUACGGGUGGCGAGUGGCGGACGGGUGAGGAAUACAUCGGAAUCUACUUUUUCGUGGGGGAUCACGUAGGGAAACUUACGCUAAUACCGCAUACGACCUACGGGUGAAAGCAGGGGAUCUUCGGACCUUGCGCGAUUGAAUGAGCCGAUGUCGGAUUAGCUAGUUGGCGGGCUAAAGGCCCACCAGGGCGACGAUCCGUAGCUGGUCUGAGCGGAUGAUUCGGCAGACUGGAACUGAGGAACGGUCCAGACUCCUACGGGAGGCAGCAGUGGGGAAUAUUGGACAAUGGGGGCAAGCCGGAUCCAGCCAUACCGCGUGGGUGAAGAAGGACUUCGGGUUGUAAAGCCAUUUUGUUGGGAAAGAAAAGCAGCAGGUUAAUACCCCGCUGUGCUGACGGUACCCAAAGAAUAAGCACCGGCUAACUUCGUG
rnacentral:rRNA from 1 species